rnacentral:rRNA from 1 species
AACGAACGCUGGCGGCAUGCCUAACAUGUAAGUCGAGCGAGACCCUCGGGUCUCGUGGCGCACGGGUGCGUAUCGCGUGGGAACCUGCCCUCAUGUUCUGAAUAACUCCCCGAGAGGGGUGCGAUAACCGGAUAAUGUCUUCGCACCAAAGAUUUAUCGCCUUUGGGUGGGCCCGCGUUGGAUUAGCUAGUUGGUAGGGUAAAAGCCUACCAAGGCGACGAUCCAUAGCUGGGCUGAGAGGAGGAUCAGCCACACUGGGACUGAGACACGGCCCAGACUCCUACGGGAGGCAGCAGUGGGGAAUAUUGGACAAUGGGCGAAAGCCUGAUCCAGCAAUGCCGCGUGAGUGAUGAAGGCCUUAGGGUUGUAAAGCUCUUUUACCCGGGAUGAUAAUGACAGUACCGGGAGAAUAAGCUCCGGCUAACUCCGUG